GAAGUUGUCAUAGAUGCAAACAUGUAAAACAAGUUGUCAGUCAUAAUGUUGAUAGAAAGAUAAAAAACGUAUAGAGCUAAGAUCUAACUACUGUAAGUAAGAUAGAGAGACAUGCACCUCAGACUAACAAUGAGUUAAAGCAUAAGAGGGGCAUUAGACAGGCAUCGAGUCACUGACUGGCUGUGGAUCAACUGGAAAUACACUACAGUAUACAAAUGGAAGCUCAAUGGUUUAUUGAAAUUCUAAUCCAGGAGAAGAUAUGUUUCUGAUCAAUAAAAGUUCCAAAGUUUACUCAAAGUAUCUGCAGAAUGUUACAAAUGAAGAAAUAAGUGCACAGAAGCAGAAUGGUCAUCUCAUUGAAAAUCAAAUUUGAAAAUCUAACAGGGGUUCUACUAUUACUAUGGAAUAUCUGUUUAGUUAAUGUCUGUUGUAAUCAGAAUAUUCAGUGGCACACAGAUCUACAUAGGUCAUCUAAAAACAAUGGAUUUCACAGGGAGGUGACAAGUAAGGUUGAGGUGUCAACAGAAGGAGGCCCCAGCACAUUUGGUACAUGUGUCCUGCUUCUAAUUGAGACAAUACCUAUGGGGGCCUAUGUGGACAUAUAUCAGCUGAAGAUGGGAGAAGAGUAUGGUGGACCAAAGGUGAUCUCAGAAUAUAUAGACAUUGAGAAGCCAGACUACGAGUCAACCAAACAUGACAUCUAUAUUUAUGGGAAUAUGACACGACAUCGAGGUGUGAUAUCUGGAGAAGUAACAUAUCCCUUGCACCUGAGGUAUCACAGACUGAGAAAGAAUGUUGAAUUUGCAGAAGUGACUCUGAAACAUCCUAGAGUGCUGAUCAAUUGCUCAAAUUUAAAACAGAAACUGGGUGGUAAUCUACAUCAGUUCCCAUGUUACCCACAUCAAAGCACUACAUGCACAUGGAAAGAGUUAGGAUAUACAGUGGAAUCUCCAGCAUUAACAUUCCUUGUUCCAGUUGGAAAUAGCAAUCAUAUAUUCUUAGUGACGACUGUUACCAUAGCAACAACAUUGAUGGGAUGUGCCUAUAUUUUGUACCUUGUAAUGAAAUCUCCAGAACUGAAAGGCAAAACUAACUGAACUGUUGAAAUUGAAAUUACCCCACAUUUUAAUCCAUACAAUGAUGCUGAAGGGCUGGUUGAAUCUUGUGUAAGAAACAAUGAACCAGAUGUUGUUCUUAUUCUGUAUUAGAUACGACAGUAUUGAAUGAUGGGAGUG
rnacentral:misc_RNA from 1 species